AAAAGAAAAUGUUUGAGAAAUUGGAUCUCAUUUCUUUCUUUCUUUUUUUCUUUUUUUCUUUUUUUCUUUUUUUCUUUUUUUCUUUUUCUUUCUUUCUUUCUUUCUUUCUUUCUUUCUUUCUUUCUUUCUUUCUUUCUUUCUUUCUUUCUUUUUUGGUUUUCAUCUUGUAUUUGCUUCACUGAAAAUGAAAUUGUAAAUUAGUGUAACAGAGGGUAGAAUUCAUCUGACCUAACUUAAUCUUCUCACCUAAAGAAUUUAAUUUAACAGGUUGUGUAGGUUUCCUGUGUAGAAGACAGAGGAAGACAGAGACCUGUAAGAGGGCUAUUCAUUACAGUAAGGCAAAUAGUACUGAGAAAAGAUUUAUGCUGUGACCCAGUAUCCUCAUACUUGCAAAAGCUGGCUUUAAGGAAAGAGGACAUGCAGUUAGUACGGAUUACUCUGCAGUUAGCAUCAGGGGAAAGCACCCCAGUAAGAAGACUGAUGCUAGCCUCUGUGGAUCAUUCUGAGUAUGUGUUUCUUAAUUUGGGGUUUCUUCUGAAUGAAUGUCAGAGCAGUUAUGAAAAGCUUCAUGAAUCCAGCAGUAGUGUAAAUGGCUUAUGA
rnacentral:lncRNA from 1 species